UGUCCAGGGAUGGGAAUCGAACCCACGACCUUCCGCUUACCGGGCAGAUGCCAUGUCCACUAGGCUACCCAGGAC
rnacentral:tRNA from 1 species